CUGCAGCCAAUUAAGCCGACUGUCCCCCUCUCCCCGUGGGGGCCCGGUGUGCAGUGGCUGCAGACAGUAACUCCUCGGUAGUGUAUGCAGCCUGUUGCUUGGUAUGGGUUGCCCUAAGGGACCUUGGAGACACCC